rnacentral:rRNA from 1 species
UUUUUUAUUUUAAUUAAUAUGAGUGAGUAUGUUUUUAAUAAUUAAAAUAAAAUUUUAAAUUUUUAGGUAAAAUUUUAAUUUAAAUGUAUUUUAAAAAAUUUAAAAUUAAAAAAUAAAUGAAAUUAAUAAAAUAAUAAGUAAACUAGGAUUAGAUACCCUAUUAUUGUUAAAAUAAAGGAAAAGUAAAANGUAUUAAUAAGGUUAUUUUAUAAAUUUAAAAAAUUGGCAGUAUUUUAAUCUAUUUAGAGGAAUUUGUUAUGUAAUUGAUAAUCCACGAAUAAAUUUACUUAAAUUAUUUAGUUUGUAUAUCAUUGUUAUAAAANGCUUAUUUAGAAGUUUAAAGUUUAAUAUUUUUNAAAAAAANGUUAUAUCAAAUCAUUAUGCAGUUUAUGUUUAAGAUUUAAAUGAAUUAUAAUGAAUUUAUUUUUGAAUAAAAAAUUGAAAAAUUUUUUUGAAAUUAGAUUUAAAAGUAAUUUUAUAUUAAUUUUAUAAAAUGAUUUAGUUUUAAAAUAUGCACAUAUUGCCCGUCAUUUUCAUUUUAAAUUGAAACAAGUCGUAACAAAGUAGAAUUACUGGAAAGUGUUUCUAGAAUGUU